rnacentral:rRNA from 1 species
AAAUUGAAGAGUUUGAUCAUGGCUCAGAUUGAACGCUGGCGGCAGGCCUAACACAUGCAAGUCGAACGGUAACAGGAAACAGCUUGCUGUUUCGCUGACGAGUGGCGGACGGGUGAGUAAUGUCUGGGAAACUGCCUGAUGGAGGGGGAUAACUACUGGAAACGGUAGCUAAUACCGCAUAACGUCGCAAGACCAAAGAGGGGGACCUUCGGGCCUCUUGCCAUCGGAUGUGCCCAGAUGGGAUUAGCUAGUAGGUG